rnacentral:rRNA from 1 species
CACUCCUGCGGGAGGCAGCAGUGGGGAAUAUCGCACAAUGGGCGCAAGCCUGAUGCAGCCAUGCCGCGUGUAUGAAGAAGGCCUUCGGGUUGUAAAGUACUUUCAGCGGGGAGGAAGGCGAUAAGGUUAAUAACCUUGUCGAUUGACGUUACCCGCAGAAGAAGCACCGGCUAACUCCGUGCCAGCAGCCGCGGUAAUACGGAGGGUGCAAGCGUUAAUCGGAAUUACUGGGCGUAAAGCGCACGCAGGCGGUCUGUCAAGUCGGAUGUGAAAUCCCCGGGCUCAACCUGGGAACUGCAUUCGAAACUGGCAGGCUAGAGUCUUGUAGAGGGGGGUAGAAUUCCAGGUGUAGCGGUGAAAUGCGUAGAGAUCUGGAGGAAUACCGGUGGCGAAGGCGGCCCCCUGGACAAAGACUGACGCUCAGGUGCGAAAGCGUGGGGAGCAAACAGGAUUAGAAACCCCAGUAGUCCCA